UUUAAUUUUUUUAUCGUUAAUUUUAUUUAGUCUUUUUAUUUUAUUAGAAAUAACUUAUUUAUUAGUAAAUUUUAUUGAUAUUAUUAUUUUAACUAUAGUUUAUUUUGCUGUGAAGGUAUUAUUUAUUUUUUUAGAAAGCAUACUUUAUUUGUAGUACCUUUUGUAUCAGGGUUUAUUAAUUUUAGUUUAAUUAUUUUUGAUUUUCCCGAAAUUAAAAGAGUUACAUUAUAAUGUUAGUUUAUGUUUUAUAUUAAUUAAUAAUUUUAAUGUAGAGGUUAUAUGCUAUUCAAUUUUAAAUAUCUGGUUUUCUGAUAAUUUAAUUUAAUUAAGGCUAAUUAUUUUUGUUUUAUGAUUUUAUUUUAUACAAUUUUAUUAGCUAAUAUUGUGGGGGAUAAGCUCUAUAAUAUUAUUUAUAAUUUUUAUUUUUUGGGAGAUUUUUUAGGCUUGAUAACAGCCAUUAUUUAUUUCGUUUUAGUUAAUUCUCUUGUUUUAUUUAUUUAUUCUUUAUUUAAUUUUUUAUUGGAUAAUUUUAUUUAAUUUUGUUUUAUAAGUUAUAAUGAUAAAAUUAGUAGUUUUGAGUAUUUAAAUUUAGGAAUUCGGCAAAUUUAAUUUUCGCCUGUUUAACAAAAACAUGUCCUAUAGAUUAUUUAUUUUAGGUCUAAUCUGCCCAGUGAUUAUUUAAAUGGCUGCAGUAUUCUGACUGUGCAAAGGUAGCAUAAUCAUUUGUCUUUUAAUUGAAGGCUAGUAUGAAUGAUUGGACGAGAAAUUUUCUUUCUUAAUUUAAUUUUUAUGAAUUUGAUUUUUUGGUUAAAAAGCUUAAAUUUUUUUGCAAGACGAGAAGACCCUAUAAAAUUUUAUUUAUCUUUUUUAUUAAUUAUUUUGUUAAUUUUUUAUUAUUAUUUAUUAGGUAAAUUUUGUUGGGGCGAUAGUGAAAAUAUCUUAACUUUCAUUUUAUUUAUUUCAUAGAUUUAUGUAUUUUUGAUCUCUUUUUAAGGAUUAUUAGAUUAAAUUACUUUAGGGAUAACAGCGUAAUUUUCUUGGAGAGUUCUUAUUGAUAAGGGAGUUUGCGACCUCGAUGUUGGAUUAAAGUUAGGUUUGGGUGCAGCAGCCUAUAAAUUCUGAGUCUGUUCGACUUUUAAUUCUUUACAUGAUCUGAGUUCAGACCGGCGUGAGCCAGGUUGGUUUCUAUCUGCAAUAGUUAAUUUACAUUUUAGUACGAGAGGACCAAAUGUAUAUAAUAAUUAUUUAUUUAUUGAUUAUUAUU
rnacentral:rRNA from 1 species